ACCGAUCAGAUUCCUUCUGCCUCUGAUCUAAACAUUGGUCUGAGUGGCUAUAAAAGGAGGACAAAUAAAACAGAAGCAGAUUUGGGGUCUUUAGUGACGUACAAGUUCAUGUCAAACAUAU
rnacentral:snoRNA from 1 species